rnacentral:rRNA from 1 species
GGUUCUAUGGAUCGUAAACCUCUUUUAUAAGGGAAUAAAGUGCGGGACGUGUCCUGUUUUGUAUGUACCUUAUGAAUAAGGAUCGGCUAACUCCGUGCCAGCAGCCGCGGUAAUACGGAGGAUCCGAGCGUUAUCCGGAUUUAUUGGGUUUAAAGGGUGCGUAGGCGGCCUUUUAAGUCAGCGGUGAAAGUCUGUGGCUCAACCAUAGAAUUGCCGUUGAAACUGGGGGGCUUGAGUAUGUUUGAGGCAGGCGGAAUGCGUGGUGUAGCGGUGAAAUGCUUAGAUAUCACGCAGAACCCCGAUUGCGAAGGCAGCCUGCCAAGCCAUGACUGACGCUGAUGCACGAAAGCGUGGGGAUCAAACAGGAUUAGAUACCCUGGUAGUCCACGCAGUAAACGAUGAUCACUAGCUGUUUGCGAUACAGUGUAAGCGGCACAGCGAAAGCGUUAAGUGAUCCACCUGGGGAGUACGCCGGCAACGGUGAAACUCAAAGGAAUUGACGGGGGCUCCCACAAGCGGAGGAACAUGUGGUUUAAUUCGAUGAUACGCGAGGAACCUUACCCGGGUUUGAACGCAUUCGGACCGAGGUGGAAACACCUUUUCUAGCAAUAGCCGUUUGCGAGGUGCUGCAUGGUUGUCGUCAGCUCGUGCCGUGAGGUGUCGGCUUAAGUGCCAUAACGAGCGCAACCCUUGCCACUAGUUACUAACAGGUGAUGCUGAGGACUCUGGUGGGACUGCCAGCGUAAGCUGCGAGGAAGGCGGGGAUGACGUCAAAUCAGCACGGCCCUUACAUCCGGGGCGACACACGUGUUACAAUGGCGUGGACAAAGGGAGGCCACCUGGCGACAGGGAGCGAAUCCCCAAACCACGUCUCAGUUCGGAUCGGAGUCUGCAACCCGACUCCGUGAAGCUGGAUUCGCUAGUAAUCGCGC